rnacentral:rRNA from 1 species
AGUGAACGCUGGCGGUAGGCCUAACACAUGCAAGUCGAACGGCAGCACAGUAAGAGCUUGCUCUUACGGGUGGCGAGUGGCGGACGGGUGAGGAAUACAUCGGAAUCUACUUUUUCGUGGGGGAUAACGUAGGGAAACUUACGCUAUACCCCAAUCCACCUACGGGGUAAAGCCGGGGAAUCUUGGACCUUUCGCCAAUUGAUUGGGCGAUGUCGGAUUAGCUAGUUGGCGGGGUAAAGGCCCACCAAGGCGACGAUCCGUAGCUGGUCUGAGAGGAUGAUCAGCCACACUGGAACUGAGACACGGUCCAGACUCCUACGGGAGGCAGCAGUGGGGAAUAUUGGACAAUGGGCGCAAGCCUGAUCCAGCCAUACUGCGUGGGUGAAGAAGGCCUUCGGGUUGUAAAGCCCUUUUGUUGGGAAAGAAAAGCAGCAGGUUAAUACCCCGCUGUUCUGACGGUACCCAAAGAAUAAGCACCGGCUAACUUCGUG